GGCUUUUUGAAGACAUCUGAUAUGAUCGGAACUAUACAGGAAAAAUUAGCUUGGCACUGCUCAAGAAUAUCAUGCACAAAAUUGAGAAAUGGUCAGUGUGCUU
rnacentral:snRNA from 1 species